UCUGCUUGGACUGGAAAAGCUUUAAUUUGGCUGACUGCAUCCUGCAGCUCUCAGGGUGCAUUUCACAGAACACUGCAUUUUUCAUGUCUACCAUGGGAGAACUCUUUCCAGAAAGCUGGAUCAGAAGGUUACCAGUGCUUUUGAGAUUCAAAAGUUUUUCAGCCAUUCAGAAUCUGAAGAGAAAAUAAUAUACCUUAUCAGGAAAUCUUCAUUAAACCCCGCAAAGUAAAUCUGUGUUUUCAUCCAGUGUUCAAGACUUCAGUCAGGAAUUUCUUCUCACUAUAAAGGCCUCAUUACAAUCUCUGACCACAGUUCUUAGAAGACAUGCUUGCAGCUGCCAGAAAUGCAAUGCCUUCUUAGCCUCACUUCCUGCCAAGCCUUGCUGUUCUUGGCAAGACACGAAAAGUCACUUGAAUGUGGACUCAGAUGGAAGGUGCUGUCCAAAGCCCCUGGUCUCCAUGCUAAAGAGAAAACCGUAGAAGAAAGCAAAGGGACUUCUUGGCUCUAGGGGGACCUCUCCAGGCUUGCUGUUGUUCAUUGUGUUAAAAGGUGUUGACAGACUGACACAAAGGCUAAAUGUACGAUUACAUUGAUACAUGCUAGUGAAGUCAAGUGAGUAACAUGAUGAAGUGGUGAAAAUACGAAAGAUCGCCAGUCUGAGAAGAAAGCUGAGGUGGUCUGUCUAGUCCCCUUGAGAGUCCUGAGGGCAACUUGAUCAAUGACGCAGAGUACAGGCAUCUUGGUGGCCACCUAAAUUA